CAACUUCUGGAACUUCACCAGUGGCCAUGGUUGCCAGCCUUGUGCCUGCCACCCAAGCCGGGCCAGAGGCCCCACCUGCAAUGAGUUCACAGGGCAGUGCCACUGCCGUGCCGGCUUUGGAGGGCGGACUUGUUCUGAGUGCCAAGAGCUCCACUGGGGAGACCCUGGGUUGCAGUGCCGUGCCUGUGAUUGUGACUCUCGUGGAAUAGAUACACCUCAGUGUCACCGCUUCACAGGUCACUGCAGCUGCCGCCCAGGCGUGUCUGGUGUGCGCUGUGACCAGUGUGCCCGCGGCUUCUCAGGAAUCUUUCCUGCCUGCCAUCCCUGCCAUGCAUGCUUCGGGGAUUGGGACCGAGUGGUGCAGGACUUGGCUGCCCGUACACGGCGCCUAGAGCAGCGGGCGCAGGAGUUGCAACAGACGGGUGUGCUGGGUGCCUUUGAGAGCAGCUUCUGGCAUAUGCAGGAGAAGCUGGGCAUUGUGCAGGGCAUCGUAGGUGCCCGCAACACCUCAGCCGCCUCCACUGCACAGCUUGUGGAGGCCACAGAGGAGCUGCGGUGCGGAA
rnacentral:sRNA from 1 species